rnacentral:rRNA from 1 species
GGGUUCAUCCGUCGGUCGGGCUUCACGGUCCGCACUGGUGUGAUGGAUUCCUACCUUCUGAAUAACCAGCAUGUCAUUAAUUUGGUGCGUUGGGGAAGCAGGACUGUUACCUUGAAAAAAUUAGAGUGCUUAAAGCAGGCUAGUGCCUGAAUACAUUAGCAUGGAAUAACGAAAUAGGACGGACUGAUUCUAUUUCGUUGGUUUCUAGGGUCACCGUA